AUCCUCAUAGCUCAGUGGGAGAGCACCUGCAUUGCCUGCAGAAGGUCUCAGGUUCAAUACCUUAUCUGCAGAUA